CAAACCAAAGCUGGCGACCGGCGCACGGGUGAGUGACACGUAUCCAACCUGCCUCAUACUCGGGGAUAGCCUUUCGAAAGAAAGAUUAAUAUCCGAUAACAUAUAUUUCCCGCAUGGGUUUUAUAUUAAAGAAAUUCGGUAUGAGAUGGGGAUGCGUUCCAUUAGUUUGUUGGGGGGGUAACGGCCCACCAAGACUACGAUGGAUAGGGGUUCUGAGAGGAAGGUCCCCCACAUUGGAACUGAGACACGGUCCAA
rnacentral:rRNA from 1 species